rnacentral:rRNA from 1 species
AUGAACGCUGGCGGCGUGCCUAAUACAUGCAAGUCGAGCGAACGGACGAGAAGCUUGCUUCUCUGAUGUUAGCGGCGGACGGGUGAGUAACACGUGGAUAACCUACCUAUAAGACUGGGAUAACUUCGGGAAACUGUAGCUAAUACCGGAUAAUAUUUUGAACCGCAUGGUUCAAAAGUGAAAGACGGUCUUGCUGUCACUUAUAGAUGGAUCCGCGCUGCAUUAGCUAGUUGGUAAGGUAACGGCUUACCAAGGCAACGAUGCAUAGCCGACCUGAGAGGGUGAUCGGCCACACUGGAACUGAGACACGGUCCAGACUCCUACGGGAGGCAGCAGUAGGGAAUCUUCCGCAAUGGGCGAAAGCCUGACGGAGCAACGCCGCGUGAGUGAUGAAGGUCUUCGGAUCGUAAAACUCUGUUAUUAGGGAAGAACAUAUGUGUAAGUAACUGUGCACAUCUUGACGGUACCUAAUCAGAAAGCCACGGCUAACUACGUG